ensembl:ncRNA asRNA:CR45683 antisense RNA:CR45683
GGUGUGAUUUCCCUUCAAUAUAUAAUGAGUGCAUCAGUUGGCGAGUGGAGCACAGAGAAACCGAAGAAAAGGAAACCGCACCCGACCAACUCUGCACUCUGCAGUCUGCACUUGUUAAUGACCUCUUUGUGUCGGGCAUCGAAAUGCAUUUCCUGGCCGGGCCACAUGGCACGAAAGUGUGCAAUAAAACUUCCACUAAUUGCAGGACAUAACCGCAACGAGGUUGCAGCCACACACACACCACUACACCACACAAAGUGCCGAAAGUUGCACGAAGUUUAUUGCAUUUAAAGGAGCACAAAGGAUAACAAGGAUUUGAAAUAUACAUCAAGGAACUCUCAGGAUAUUUUAAUUACAUUUAUUAGCUUAAUAUCAAUUAAUUAACUCGAGUUGCUGACACUUUAUCAUUGCCAAACGAACUUCAAGCCAUUGUUGGAAAAUGCAUUGGGGCAUUGAAAAGUAAGCCUAAUAAUCUGCAUACAUUGAAAGUGGCAAGGAGCCGGCAAUGAAAAGCAAUAAAAUCCCAUGUAAUAAAAGCCAUGUAUAGUACGUGUAUGACUGUGGCCAACUAAGUAUCAGCAAAUACUAUACCGCAUAUAUACAGAAUAUAUAUUCGCCGUAUGCAUUUGCAAUGAUUUGUGUGCUCAAAUGGCUGGAGACAUCGUCAAUGGAGCCACCAAAAGCUGACUCAGAGCCAGCAACAAUUUAGCAUUUUGCAUCCGCUUUCGAUUCGAAUUGUGGCUGCUGGUGAUGCUGAUGCUGCUGAUGGCGCCAGGCCAGAAAUCCAUUGAUGGCAUCCACACCAACCAAACAUUCUAGCCCCUUGUGAGCCACACAUCCUUACUUUAUGGCUUCUAAGUAGUUCAACGCCAGGGAAUCCCAGCUUGAAUUUCAGCCACUGCGAAAAGAAAGUGGCAAGCGGUUUGGCCUUUGAAUCACGUAGCCAAAAGCCCUGGCAAUGGGCAGCAUCGCUUUUAUUAUAGUUUUCUUCGCAAAACUCGUGAUAAAUGAAAGGCAGUGGCAAACAGAUGUUUGUGAUAACUACUCACACCCAGAUUCCAGGACUCGGACUUCGACUUCGAGUGUAAGUUUAUGAAAAAUGAGCCCAGAUGAUUAUACAAUGGCAGCUGCAAUGUGUUGGGGCAGCAAUCAAAUGUCAUCACUUACAAACUUUUGGAGGGUCACAAAGGCAAAGCGAAAUAUAAUUCAACUGAGCAUUUUUACAAUCAAAAUUGAAUUGGAUGCCGCGCUCAAAGCGAAUCACAAUGUUGAAUUGCAAAAAGAUUGAAUUUCCGCCAUUCAGUUGGCUGUAGAAAAGUAAUUUAUCACAGCGAGCAGUUGUUAAAUAAUAAUGAGUUUUAAAAAAUGCCGUUGAUGUUGAAAUGUUAAUUUGGGGAAUACAAGUUCUAUCGACUGUAGAAAUAAUUAAACUUAACUUUUGUAUAUAAAAGGUUAGUGGAAAUAUUUCAGUUUUUAAGUUUAAAGACCAAGCGUUAUAAAUAAGUGUUCUAGCUUUGUCCCUUGCCCCAUGACCCUCACUCUUUUGUUCGACUCGCCCACAAAGUGUUGGCCAGCGGGCAGGCAAUGAAUCUUCAAAGACGCUCUGCAGAACCAACCAAACCACCCACUUUGAUGGUGGCUUGUGGGUGGUGGGUGGACAAAAGGUCACGCAAUCGUGCGGCAAAAAAAAAAAAGGGCUGACAGUGUAGGGAGCGCAAGUUGGCCAAAUGUUUUUCUCUGCCCUCUUGGUUAUUACAUAUAUUUUCACUUAUAUCUGGCUGGGAAUUGGCUUGGCUCGCCACUUUGGGCCUGAAUCGGCCUAUUUGGGGAAAGGGCUCCAGUGCUCGACUCAACUGAGCAAUGAAGGCCAGCGCAAUUACCGAAGUGGAUAAUUAGAGUUUGAAGAUGAGGCUAUGAGGGCUGCUUAAAGCAUGUGACUGAAUAAAUAUUUAAGCCCGUAUAAAUUGCAAAUAUUAUUGCCCACGAAUGCCCAUGGUUAUGAUGUGGUGACUUUGGCAAAUAAUAAUGUGGAAUAAAAGCGUGCAGCUUUGGAAAAAUUAAUUUUUAGUCAUGCAGAAGAGCAGCAGUUCAUGUUUAUUUAUGCACACAUCAGCUGUUAAAAUUCAUUUAAGGCCAAAUGGCAUUUUAUCUGCGCACACACAAAGCACCCCAAUGUUUUGGAAUUUAAAAUUUAAUUAAAAUCUCAUGCGAAAAAUGACACAAUCCAGGCCGAAUACAUUGUUGGAAACAAAGGGAAGGACCACCAACAAGGACCAGCUCAUCCAAAGGCCUAAGCCAGCUGGGAUAUUUGGACGAGGGCUCAAAAACUGUCCACUUUGUGGGUCCCUCGGUGAAUUAAAAAUUUACACCAAUGAAAAGCUUUUUAAACGUGAUUAAUUUGAUAUUCUUUACAUUCUUACUUGUUUUAAGAAGCAGCUGAGGGGCGUGGAAAUAAUAUUAUUUUCAGUAUCUUGCAGUUUCUAACUUGUAUACACAUUUCUAUUCUUUCUUAUCAUAGAUUUAGCGGAAAAUAAUUCGUAUAAUGAGUGUCAUAAAUUCAUCCGAAGCUGUAAUUAACACAUAAUCAUCAUUUUAAUUGAGCUAAUUGAUUAAUGGCAAUCGAGCGUUUGUGUGUUCCAUGAAAUGUUGCAAAUGUUGAUGCUAACGACUAAGUUAAUUAUUGUGACAAUUUAUUAGUUAUUCAAAUUAAAGCUAUUAAAUUUUGAAUAUGAAGAUGAAUUUAAUUAACAAAUUUGUCGAAAGAAUAACUGCCCGUUUGUAUGCAUUAAUUAGGUUAAACAGUCAUAGAAGCUAUAUGCUGAUAUGUUUUUAUAUAUUUUUUUAUUUUAUUGACAUUAUUAUUAAUUUGUAAAUAUUACUUGUAAAAUUACGUUGUAAAUAUAUAAUUUCCGGAAAAUUGGAAACAAAAUCGUAAGGUCAUUAGUUUGCUUAAAAAUAAAUUAAAUUACUUAUGAUGUAUGUAUCAAUACUUUUUAAAUAGUCAUAAUAACUUUAGAACUUUAAGCAAGGCAUGCAAAUUAGCUUUUAAGGCCCAAGUUUGCCUCGCCAAGGGGGAUCUCUACGAGAAUCUCAACUGAAAGCGAGUGAGUAUAUUCAUCUAAAAUAUCUUACAUUUUAUUCAAGCCUCAGAUUAGCGGCCCCGCAUGCUUCUUUUGGCCCUUCAGAACCCUGCGAUUAUGCGGCAUCGCGUAGUACAACUUGCUCCAGAAGAGCGGAUCACCCCACUUGAGGUAGGUGUUCAGCUUGAGAUAGGCUCGCAGUUCGCUAUCGAUGCCGUUCAUGUGCUCCAGUUCCCGGUAGAGGAUUAUGAUGAUUCGCUUCCGUUUGUCCUGCAAUGUGGCCUGAUAGGCGAUCCGGAACUCCAUGCGGGCCCACACCGAAUCGAUGAAGUGCUGCGACAGUACAAUAAUCACCCGCUUCGAGUCGUCUACGGUGCGAACGAUUUGCUCCGGAAUACAGUCGCCCACCAGCCAGUCCCGAUCGUGCAGACACAGCCGGAAGGGAUGCGGACCACUCUCUAGUUUGGGCAAGAGCUUGCUGAUCAGCUCCUCAUCUUUGUGCGAGUACGAGAUGAAGGCAUCGUAGGUCUUGUCCUUGUCCAGUUCCUCCUCGGAGACCCACCACAGGCAAAGAUUGUUGUUGUACAGCCAAAUCUUCAGCUCCUGCUGGAACAUUAGGUAGAACACGGUGAGCAGACAGAUGACGAUCACCAGGCCACCGACCACACAGCUGAUGAGUAGGACAUACGAUGGACACAGCUCAAAGGCCUCCAUCUGCUGGAAGGACUUUUUCUGCUUGGUGCACACAAUAUCGGCGAUGUCCCGUACCCGCUGCGGAUUGGUCCGCACAAAGAAGAGAAGCGACAAGGAUUCGCAGCCACAGGUGAUGGGGUUUCCCGACAACGAUAGCGUCAUAGUGUUGUUCGGCUCCUGAAGAAACAAUAGGAACUCAUCGCUGAGUGACUGAAUCUGAUUGCCUCGCACAUCCAGGUGGGUGAGAUUAUCGGGCAGCUGGUCACCGCUUCCAAGGCUGGUCAGGUUAUUGUCCGACAGAAAGAGUCCACUCACAUUGGCAUAACCACUGUGUUCGCUCACAGUGGGUAGACUGGUGAGGCUAUUGUUGCCCACCUUGAGCACCGUGCUCAGUAACGUGGUGCGGGGCAAAUCCGGAAGUUCCUCGAGACUCGUUCCGCGGCAAUCCACGAUCAGACUACCUACACUCCGCUGCACCCAGCAGAUGCAUCGGGGAUCGCACUGCCACUCCGCCGACUUGUACUGGCACGCCUCGUCAUUGGUGCACACCACAGCCUCGUAGUUCAUCAGGAGCGUGGCCCCAUAGAACUGGGUGUUCACCAUCUCGAUGUAGUUCAGACUGACCACAUCUUGGAACACACUCGGCGACAUCGCGGUCAGCGAGUUCUUGUUCAGACGCAAAACGUUCAGCGAAGUCAAUGGUGCGAAAAUUGUGCUGCAGGAGGAGGAGAUCUCAGAGGGAU